UACAUUCAUAUAAAAAAUAAUAAUUACUUAAUCUAUACAUUCAUAUAAAUAUAUAUAUAUAUAUAAAUAAUUGCAUAAUCUAUACAUUCAUAUAAAAAAAUAACAAUUACUUAAUCUAGACAUUCAUAUAAAUAUAUAUUUAAAUAAUUGCAUAAUCUAUACAUUCAUAUAAACAAAUAAUAAUUACUUAAUCUAUACAUUCAUAUAAAUAUAUAUAAAUAAUAGCAUAAUCUAUACAUUCAUAUAAAAAAAUAAUAAUUACUUAAUCUAUACAUUCAUAUAAAUAUAUAUAUAAAUAAUUGCAUAAUCUAUACAUUCAUAUAAAAAAAUAAUAGUUACUUAAUCUAUACAUUCAUAUAAAUAUAUAUAUAAAUAAUUGCAUAAUCUAUACAUUCAUAUAAAAAACAAAAAAAAAUCUCCACCCUCAAGCCGGCUAGGCCGGCUGUCCAGCCCACCUCCCCCUCUCUCUAGCCACGGGUGGGUCGGCCCCGCUGCCCAGGGGGCCCCACUUGCCAGGCGGCCGCCGGCAAACCCUGCCGCAGGGACGACAGCCGCCGCCGCCUGAGAGCACCACCCGCGAGGCGGCCCCGAUGCUGCCCCGGCCGCCUCGCUCGACUCCACCGCCUCCCUGCGCCCCGCCUCGAAUCCGCCACGCCCGGCCGCACUGGCCGUCGCCGCCGGCGAGCGGCGGCCACCGCGCUCUCUGCCUCCCACAUCAGCCCCCACGCGCGCGCAACCGCACCCGCCCCACGCGCAACAGCAAAACUGGACGUCGGCGAGCUUACCUCGACUGGCGGCGGAGAGAAGGGUUGCAGCGGAGGAGAAGGGUGGCGGCGAGAAAAUUUGGCAGCCCUGCCGGCGUCACUUUGAAUAGAACUGGCGCUUUCGAGACUUGGAAAUUUUCGGGACUGGCUGCGACCUAUAUAAGGGCGGCAUUUCUACAGCCGGUUGGCAUUGACCACCGCCUGUAGAAAUAGGUUUCCACAGGCGGUUGGCAUUGAGAAAUAGCUUUCUACAGGCGGUGGUCAACGCCAACCGCCUGUACAAAGAUUUUUGUAUUUUAUUAUUAUUAUUUUUGUUUUCUAUAUUUUUGGUAACUGUCUUUUAAUUGCAUAUUGAUAUUAUAAUUUUAACAUAAUUAUUUCUAUAUUCUAUAUUUGUAACAUAAUUAUAUUUGUUUAUAUAUUAUUUGUAAAAUGAUAUUAUUUCUAUAUUGCAUAUUUAUAUUAUUUCUAUAUUAUUUCAACAUAAUGAUAUUAUUUGUAUAAUUAUAUUAUUUUAAAUUUCAAAUGCAUAUUGCAUAUUGUAUGAAAGGUAGAGCUUGAUGAGCUCUAACUCCUCUGUAUUCAAAACUUUUUCAUUUGAGGACUUUUAGCCUAGUUGGACCUAGUUUGACCUAGUCAAAUUUUGAAAUUUCACAUUUCCACAACUACACACACGUUUUCGAAACCUGAGACGUCCCCAACUCGAAAAGUCAUGAAUACAAAGAUUGUUCCACUCAUUAAGAUAUACAUUUCAUACAUAGGACAUUUUUGCAUUUGACAAAGCGUUUCAAAAGUGUAGUUCUAAAUCCACAAGUCUCACAUAUAGUUUCAUAAAGUUUGUGUCACAUUCAACACUUUGUGACUAGAGUUUACCAAUCCUUUCUCAAAUGCCAAAAUAUCCUAUGUAUGGAAUGCGUAUCUUGAGGAGCUCUAACACCCAUGUAUUCAAAAGUUUUUCAUUUGAGGUCAUUUAGUGCGUAGUUUGACCUAGUUUGACCAAGUCAAAUCUUGGAUUUUUUCUGAAAAGUCACUUUGACCGGACCCUUUGUAGUCUCAGAUACAAAAGUCAUGAAUACAAAGUUUGUCCAGCUCAUCAAGAUACACAUUGUGUGUAAGGGUCAACUUUUCAUCUGAGAGAGUUUGGACCACUCAAAUUUUGAAAUUUCAAAUUUCCACAGCUACACACACGUUUUCGAAACCCGAGACGUCCCCAACUCGAAAAGUCAUGAAUACAAAGUUUGUUCCACUCAUCAAGAUAUAUAUUUCAUACAUAGGACAUUUUUGCAUUUGACAAAAGCGUUUACAUGAUGAAUCACAGAUACAAUCUAGGCCGCUACUAUUCUUCCUUGUCCAUCAGGGCGCACCCAUGGCAAAGAACUCUGUGGGAUGCAUCGCUCAAUAUUUUUUAUCUUCAUAGGAUGGUCCACAAAGAGGGACAUAUCACUGAACUGGUUAAAAUCCUCUAGAUCCGAUACACCGUCAACUCCAACUGCUUGUUGCUUUCCUGGAAAAACUAAAUGCUUCGGUUUGUCGGUACUUUUCUUCUCAUUCUUAGAAAGGAUCUGCUCAGCAUAGAAAACCUGUGCAGCACAAUUAGCAAGGAUCCAUGGGUCAUCUUUAUAUCCCACCUUACUUAGAUCAAGAACUCUGAACCCAUAAUUAUCCACUGUGACAUGUUUAUCUUCAACCCAUUGACAUCAAAACACAGGGAUCUGAAAUGUACCAUAGUCUAGUUCCCAUAUGUCCUCGAUGAAGCCAAAGUAUGUAAUAAUAUCACCAGUUUUGUCAUCUACGGCCUCGCAUCGAACACCACUAUUUUGUGUCAUGCUCUGUUGGUCCCUGAACUUGGUAUGAAAUGUGAAUCCACUUAUGUCAUAGGUUUGCCAUGUUAUGACUUAGCGUGAUGGUCCAGAUGCCAAAGCCUUGAUGGUUUGUUUCUCAAUUGUUUCCCCAUAUGGAAUGUCCUGCUCCCUUAGCCAUGUGUACAACUGUUUCUUGAGUUCCUUCAUUACCCCCUCUGUUUGCCUAGGAUUAUGUUCUCGAAGCUCAUCUAUGUGUUGUUCAAUCAAAUGCUCCAUUAUCGAGAGCUGAUGUAAGAUGUUGUGAUGUGACUCAAGUAAUGUAUUGUAAUCUGGUGGGAUGAGUGAUUUUCGUCCAAUCCUCCCACAUCCAUGUAGCCUACCCUCAUGUCCUGACGGAGGCAAACCUAUUGCAACCUAGUCUUUUAGGACAUUAUUGCAGAAUGGUCCUCCGGACUCAAUCGCCUCUUCGGUACAAUACCCCUCUAUCAUGGACGCCUCGGGACGAGCACAAGUUGAUACAUAGCCAUUUAGUAUUGACAUAAAACGCUUGUAAGUCCACAUUUCAUGCAGGUACAUGGGACCCAGUGCCUGUAUUUAUGGAACCAAGUGCACCACAAGGUGCACCAUGAUAUCAUAGAAUGAUGGGGGGAAACACAUCUCAAACUGUGACACUGUUUCCACUGCGAAUUCCUGAAGGGAUUCUAACUCAUCACGGUCAAUUACCUUUUGUGUGAUCUUGUUGAAAAAGUAGCACAACCGUGUGACUGCCAUUUUUAAGAAUACUGGAUUUAUAGCCCUUAUUGCAAUAGGGAGGAAAGUAGUCAGCAUGACAUGACAAUCAUGUGAGUUGUAGUUGGUGAGUGUUAGGUCUUUCAUCGACACAUAACUCCGUAUGCUAGAGCAGAAUCCAGAUGGGACUUUCAAUUUCUUCAACCACUCACACAUCGCAUGUUUCUCAUCUAUGUUGAGGUUGUAGCUUGCUGCUGGGAGAUGGUACUUCCUAUUUUCUUGAAGAACAGGAUGAAGCUCUUUUUUUAUGCCUAACUGCACCAUGUCAAAGCGUGAAUUGAGUCCUUCCUUUGUCUUGGUAUUGAUGUCUAGCAACGUGCCAAUUAGACAUUCGAACACAUUCUUCUGGACGUGCAUACCAUCGAUCGCGUGUCGUACAUCUAAGUCUUUCCAGUAUGGCAAAUACUCAAAGAAAAUGGACUUCUUCUUGAAUGUUGCCCCUGGAGUUGAUUUGACAUCCUUUCUUAAUUUUCCAUCCUUUGUCUUCUUUCCAAACACAAAUUUAAUGUUGCUCACUAUUUUGAAAACUCUAUGGCCUUUGCUAUUACCUAAUGGUGCAUCUGAGUUCCUUUCAUCAUUAUAGUCAAAGUACUUAUCCAUCUUUUUCAAGCGGUACUUGUGACCUUUCGAUAAGAAGCGUCUGUGCCUCAUGUACACUAUCUUCUUAGAUGCAUUAAGGGACACGUAAUGGGUUCCGUCUAUGCACACCACGCAACCAACCUUUCCCUUGAUUUGCCCUGUUAAAAUAAAGAGAGCAAGGUAAUCGUUGAUAGUAACAAAAAUAAUUGCUCUUAGCGUGAAUGAAUCUUUGCGAUACUCGUCCAACAUUUGAACACCUUUUUCCCAUAACAUUUUCAUUUCCUCCAUCAAUGGCUCCAAGAAAACAUCCAUGUCAACUCCAGGUUGAACUGGUCGAGAGAUAAGUAAGGUUAGCAAAAGGUAUUCUUGCUUCUGCAUCAACCAUGGAGGGAGGUUGUAGAUGGUGAGAAUCACCGGCCAUGUGCUAUGCUUGCUGCUCCUCUCAGCAAAUAGAUUCAUUCCAUCUGUACACAGUGCGAACCUAACAUUUCUUGGUUCGCUGGCAAAGUCUCGGUGGUUGUCAUUGAAAUCUUGCCACUGCUUUCCAUUGGCUGGAUGGCGAAGCUUGCCAUCAUUUUGUGCUCAUCAGAAGCAUGCCAACUCAUAAGUUUUGCAUCCUCAGGGUUAGCAAACAAACUCCUCAGUCGAUCUACCACUGGAAGGUACCACAUCACUAAAGCAGGAAUCUUUUUCUGCGUAUAAUAGUCAACCUCUUCUUUAUCUUUGCUCAUGGGUUUUGAACUCUGUUGGGUGUUCUUUUGGGCCUUCUUUCGCUUCUUCCCUGCUUUACACAUGGAGGCAGCAUAAUCCUCUCGAUAGUCUUUGUUUGUCUUGUACCGACUUGCACCACACUUUGGACAACUAUCCAAGUCCUUGUAAUCAUCACCUCGGUACAGGAUACAAUGAUUUAUACACGCAUGGAUCUUCUCGACACCCAUAGUCAACGGAUUGAUCAGCUUCUUUGCAUAGUACAUGUUAGCAGGAACUUUGUUCUCCUUUGGAAGCAUAUCGCCGAUAAUACUUAAGAACGCAUCGAAUCCAGCAUCGGACAAACCAUACCUGGCUUUUGCCAUCAACAGUUUUAGCACAGCUCGUAACAUUGUGUACUCUUUGGUACAACCUUUAGACUCAUCAUACAAAGGCUCUUCUGCUGCUUUCUUUAAGGCCUCCAUCCCUUUCAUUAAUAACAUUGAUGGUUCAGUAUGACGACACAACAUUGCCUCCAAGAAUUCAGCAUCUUCUGUAGCCGUAUCAUUUGGUAAGACAUGAGUUCUUGCACCAACAUUUCCCCGAGUAGAUCCACCAGCGGUAACAUUUGGCACAACAUGUUCACUCUGGGGUGUGUCGUGGAAAAACUGAUCAGCAGGCAUGCCUGGACCAUCGGUGUCGAUGUGUGCUGGGUCCCCAACUGUAUAAGGCGCUGAGCUACCCUCUCCAUGCUUUGUCCAAAUCAAGUAAUCCUUCAUAAAUCCUCGGCAGACUAGAUGAGAAAUGAUUACUUCAGUAUCUUCAAAUAGAAGAAUAUUUCUGCAGUCGUAGCAUGGACAAUAUAUAUGCUUCGUCUUUGUUCUCAAAGCAUGGUUCUUAGCGGCAUCAACAAACCUAUGCACCUCAGGUAUAUAUGAUGGAUCUAGUCUUGAUAAGUUAUACAUCCAUAAGGACCUCUCCAUCAUGACCUGUUGAAAAGUUAGUAAAUUAAUUGAAAUAUUAUCUAGGAAUAUUUGUUAUUAAAAAUAAAAGAAGACCUAACAAUUAAAUCAAAUUGAAAAAUGAAUCAUGAAAAUGGUGAGAGGAGAGGCAACAUCUUAAACAAGAGGGCACAAAAAUGCUUAUCGCGUAAUUAAAUCAAAUUUACAUAAAAAAUAACAUCCUAAACAAUAUAAUUUAAAAAACUAAAAAGAAAACUUACCUUUCUUAGCCACCUCCACCUCCUUCCAAGAAAUGAAGAUCAAAACCUCCACUCUUGUAUUUUGACCGGUUGAAAAGUUAGUAAAUUAAUUGAAAUAUUGUCUACGAAUAUUUGUUAUCAAAAAUAAAAGAACACCUAACAAUUAAAUCAAAUUGAAAAAGUAAAAUAAGUAUCAAAAAUAAAGACAAAACCAUAAAUAUAUAUCUUUAUAUCACUAAAUUAAAUUUGACAAGGUACAAAAACACUAAUGAUUGAAACUAAAUAUAUUAUAUCACUAAAAACUUUGAGAAGGAAACAUGGAAAUGGUGAGAGGAGAGGCAACAUCUGAAGCAACCUCAUAUAUAAAAAAUGCUUAUCGCAUAAUUAAAUCAAAUUUACAUAAAAAAUAACAUCCUAAACCAUAUAAUUUAAAAAACUAAAAAGAAAACUUAUCUUUCUCUCCCUUCCCAAGCAUGGAAACACCAUUCAUGGAAACUACUACAUAUAUAUUUCUUGGAUUCACAAAUUAGAGAAGGAAACAUAAAAAAAAGAUAGGAGAGACAUCAUAUAUUCAUCUUAAGCAACUUUAUUUGAGCAAAAUAAACCAUACCUAGCUAUUCUACUCUCUCCCUCUCAUGGUGAAACCCUAGAUCCAAAAAGUAGCUCAAAUUGAGCAAGAGGGCACAAAAAGAGGCAUUAGAGGCAUCAACUAACCUUUCUUAGCCACCUCCUUCCAAGAAAUGAAGAUCAAAACCUCCCCCUUGUAUUUUGAAAAAUCUGGACCUCCAAGAUGGGCUGCAAUGGGAGGUGGCUGCGAGCUACAGUUCUUUCCGAGGAGGAAGAAGGGGCUGGUGGUAUCAGGCGGUUUGUUAUGUGAACCGCCUGUGUAAAUCCAUUAACACAGGCGGUUCGCAUAACUGAACCGCCUGUGUAAAUGGACCAUUUAUACAGGCGGUUUUCUUACAAUAACCGCCUGUACUGAGCCUUUUAUACAGGCGGUUUCCAAUUCUAGCCGUACAAAUUUUCAACACAGGCGCAUUAUAACUAAAACCGCCUGUAGUAAUGUUUUACCCCGUCGGCUUAGAACCUCUGUGUACUAGUGUCAAACUAUAGCAAGGAGAGCCUUGUAUAGAAAUAUCUUCGUGCCUCCCGAACCAUCCAAAAAAACAUAAUUCUUAUUGGCAUGUUUUUAGUUGGGACAAUGUCAAUGGUAGAUGACAACGGCUUCAUAUCAGAGACACAAAUAAAAACAACUAAACGAUGAUAUUUUUUCUAGAGUUCAACUUUUACACAAUUGGCAUACUGCAUUAUACUUUCCUUGGUUACUUUCACAGGCAUCACAAUCGCUUAGACUCAUUGACUAUCGUAACCUUGCUCACCGUCAUCUACAGAGGGGACCAGGGACAGGGAAAGAUUUAAUUAGUAUCUAAUGCUGACAGUUGGCAUACUGCAUUAUACUUUCCUUGGUUACUUUCACAGGCAUCACAAUCGCUUAGACUCAUUGACUAUCGUAACCUUGCUCACCGUCAUCUACAGAGGGGACCAGGGACAGGGAAAGAUUUAAUUAGUAUCUAAUGCUGACAGUUGGCAUACUGCAUUAUACUUUCCUUGGUUACUUAGACGAUUAGCAUCCAAACUCGUACUAAUAUUUUUUUAGUUGUCAUUUGUAUUGGUCUUCAAAGUUGAAAGUUGUAGUCCACUACCAAUGUAUUGUAGGUAUGCCUUUUUAUUGCUUGCAAAAUAAAGAGGUCAUUCAGUUCCAGCAAACAUAGAAGGGCUACUGAAAUAUCUGAAAAAAGCUUUUCCUUUCCAAACUUUUAGGCAAAUUGCAGUCAUAAGUAGGGAUGAAAACGGUAUGGAUAUUUCGACCGUAUUCGAGACUGAAUUCGUUUAGAGGGGUUUAGAUCUGUCCGUAUUCGAGUCCGAAUAUUUAACAUCCGAUUCCGUAUCCGUACUCGAAUACUUAAAUCGUAUAUUUAUAAUGUCGACAUCCAAUCUUAUCUUAUCCGACAUGGUUGACAUUAUUCGUAUUCGAAUCCGAAUUCGACCAAAAAUAUGAAAACAAAUAUGAUAUCAAUGAUAUCCGUUCGUAUCCAAUCCGUUUUCAUCUCUGAUCAUAAGUGAUACUAACAUCAAACUAAAACAGUAAGUAGCAGUAAUCCAGUAAUUAGUAGCUCCAAAUGAUGGCAUUAGGCCAGUCUCAGUGGUCCAUUUCAAUACACUGUUCCCAAAACAAAUUUGCUGAUAGAGCAUCAAUGAAACGAACAAUGAAACAACCUCCACAAUGCAUGAGUUUCACCUUGACGUUUCCUAGGCUCGGCAAAGCAUUUAAUUACUGCAAAAUGAUUGGAUUACAUGCAAGAUGUUGAAACAAUUUAGUCCUCAAUGGGGAUUUCAUCCCGUUUCACCGCGUAGGAAACAACGCCCGCAGAGUUUCACCAUGGUGAAACUACUUCUUUCUCUCUCCUCUUCGUUUUAUGCAAAAAGUACAGUUUUACUAAUAUAACACUCUAAUAAAUAUGCAUGACAUCCUGGUGAAACCUCCACUGAAACUGUCCUUAAGAGCAACACUAAAGUUCACGAGCCCUCAAAAUCAUAUGACCGGGGUACGUGCUGCCUAACGCCGCCACCCUCAGCCCACGCCACUGCUGCCCUGGCGGGCCCUAACCGGCCAGCUACAUCUACAAAUAGAUUAAACAAUUGAAGAAUAACGUUCACGUACAUUCAUCAAAUAUUUGAAGGAUGUGCUCAAACAAGUUUUCUUUGGAGGUUAGGUCGGCUUUUUCACUGUGUAAUAAGAUAUAUAGGUCGGUUAAGUUUUUUUUGAGGUGCUUGUAAAGAUAUAAGGAUCUAUCAUCGGGGCAUCGAUCAUGCACGUCCGUCCAAAAGAAUUGCUAGGUACGUGGUGAUCUCUUGGAAGACUGAGAGAGAUCUCUUGGUCCUCCUCCUCCUCCUACUACUACUAUUACGGUCUUGUUUAGUUCUCAAAUUAUUUUACAAAAUUUUUCAAAUUCCCCAUCACAUCAAAUCUUUAGCCACUUGCAUGGAGUAUUAAAUAUAGAUGAAAAUAAAAGCUAAUUACACAGUUUGAUCGGAAUUGACGAGACGAAUCUUUUGAGCCUAGUUAGUUUAUGAUUGGAUAAUAUUUAUCAAAUACAAACGAAAGUGCUACUAUUCCUAUUUUGCAAAAAAAAUUGGAACUAAACAAGGCCGUUCACCCCCAAAAUCCAAAAAGUUUUCAAAAUUCUCUGUCACAUCGAAUCUUGCGGCACAUGCAUAAAGCAUUAAAUGUAGACGAAAACAAAAACUAAUCACACAGUUUGACUGUAAAUAGCGAGACGAAUCUUUUGACCCUAGUUAGUUUACGAUUGGACAAUAUUUAUCACAAACAAACGAAAUUGUUAUAGUAACGAAAUCCAAUAAAUUUUCACAUCUAAAUAAGGCCCUAGGCUACUACACACGCUUAGUACCUAGCACGCCGUUGAUGCAGGCAUGCAUGCAGCACCAGCCAGCACUUUUUUGCUUUGAACAGUGCUGGCGCUAGCUGGCUAGCUGUGCUGAUAGAUACGCAUGCAUAUGCAUGCACACGUCGCCAAGACAGCAACGUACAGUGCUGCAGCGCAUGCACCGUCCCCAUCGUGCUGCCCUCGCCUGUGAGACACGGUGCCCGCUUGUCCGGCUCCUCGUGACACAUACACGAUCCAUCGUCGCCGACGUACGUUAAACACAUGUGUGCAUGCAUGUAGCUAGGCCGUCAUGUUAUGUGUAUGUACAGCCAUGCCACACCCCCUGACCCCCACGCCAUACCCUGCAUCGUCGAUUGCGCUUUGCAUGUGCAUGCAUCGUCUCUCCUGGCCAGCCAACUUUUCCAGAUCUGUCAUUCAGCUAGAUAUAUACUGUAUAUGUAUAUAUACGUAUAAGGCCUUGUUUGGAUGUAGUAAGAUUCGCAUCAAUCCACAUGUAUCGAGCUGGGUUAGAGUGGAACUUGAACUAAAUUCCACCUCAAUCCACUCCAAUACAUGUGGAUUGAGAUGAAUCCGACAACAUCCAAACAAAGCCUAAAUAAGUUUGCGAAUAUAUAGUUACAUGUACGUUAUCUUGUUUCAGUGAUAGGGAUCGAAGUUCCUAUCAAUAACAAGGCGUCUAUCGUCGUAACCUCACUAAUCUUAAGAAUUUGCUAGCUCAGUCAGGGGUAGUAGUCACUUAUAGGGGUGAUUGAGUGUACAUGCAUGCGCUGUGAAUAUCUAUGUUAAAAAAGAAAUGUACAUCACCUCCAUAGUAAAGUAUAUCACCGUUUCUCUCAGCUGCAAACUGAAUGUUGUUACGCACGGCCGGACAGGCAGUGCGUACGACCAAACAUAUACAUAGGAUAGGAGUCAUAGGACAUAAUAACAGCUUGCAUGGAAGGGACGUGUGAGCCGUCGUUUGUGAGUUGCGAUCGAUCGAGACUGGCCGGCCGGGGAAGAAACGCCGGCCUCACCCCACCGCCGCUCGCGGCUUGCCGCGCCCCCACAAACUUUUUGAGAGGGCUCCGCGCCCGUCCGCCGGUAGGGCCAGCGUACAUGCUGUUGGCCUGGUCGAGACGAGAGAGCCAGAGAUCACGCAGGCUACAGGGAGGAUGAACAGUCGUUCAGAUGGCUGCAUCUGCACUGCACCUGCAUGCAUGCGCUAGCUGAACAAUUGCAUAUGCAGCUAUAGGACUGUACUUAAGCGCAGAUUAUUGAGCAAUUAUCCACCAGUAGUUGCAUUGGGGGUUGUCUAGUCAUUUGGAGGUCCUGGUGCUGUUAAAAAUUCAGCAUUGGCAAGUUUUGCAUGUGGGUGUGGUUGGGUAGAUUUCUGCAAAGAAAAUUACAAGACAUACAAUUGGAGAACCCGAAUGGAGGAGGCCAAUUUCCGCGGAGUCUCCAAGAAUAGUGACUGUUGAGAAAUAAGAAAGAAAGAAAGAAAGAAAUAUAAACCAUUGCCUUUCAUUUGCUGAAUUUUGAGCCAGAUCGACGUCUCUGCCUAAACAGACAUGACAUCGUGCAUGGUGCCCAUGGGAAUGGGCAACCGGAAUUUGUGAUGGUUUUAAGAGGAAGGAGGUGAACCAUCCAAUAGCCAGACCAUAAAGAGACGUCCUAGGGUGGAGACCCGGUUUCGCAAAAACAGACGUCCUAAGCAGCGGAGAGUAUUGUGGACGCGUUUGCCCCUGCGAACCGCCCGUUCGCGUGCGUCCCUUCGCGUGCGGCCUCGUUCGUCGCCCGCAUUGAAGGCUCGCAGGGGCCUCGUUCGUCGCCCGCAUUGAAGGCUCGCGUGCGUCCGUUCGCGCAGUUCAGGUAAACGAAAAAAAAGCGCCAACAAAAGCGCGUUGAAAGUCAAAGGAAAAAAAAGGAAAAAAAGCGGCAAACAAUGUGCUCAACGCGGCGAACAGGCUCCAAACGCGGCUACAAGCACGGACACGUCCAAAUCAACGAAAUAAGCGCGUGCCAUCCCUGCCCGCACACGCACAGUACCAUGAAAAAACAUGAAAAUCUACUCAGUGCCAAAAAAUAGCGCGGCCACCAGGGAUCGAACCGACCCCCUAACAGCCAUCCACCCAACUCGCGCUUGCUAGCCAGUAGAACUACAAAUCUUUCCUAGAUAACAUGCACCCCGCAGCUUAUUUAAUAGGGGUAAAGUAGAAAAAAUACCCCCUAAUUAAUGACUUCUUGGUUAUCACAAUCUUAUCCUAAACGUCCAUUUUUUCAGUAUGGAGGGAGUAUUAAGAAAGACAGGAGGCGUGGCUCGUCGGAGGUCAGUUUUCAGCGCUUGAUGUAGUGAUCCUACUUACCUGUUCUUUGUUGCCUCGAGCAUUCAGCAGUAGAAGCUAAUAAGAGGAACAGUCAAUCAACCGGAAGCUGAAGAAAAAGUUAAGAUAGGUGACUGCUUAACUCAUACGGCUAGCUAUAGUACACUCAGCAUGCAAUGGAAGCCCCUGUAAAACUGUAAUGAUAGAAUCACGUGCACGGGGAUUAGUUGCGGGCAGAGCUUUCAACAAAGGGGCGCGCGCGAGAUGGGGAUAUAUGCAUGAUGGCCUUAUGAUUCGAUCGAGCUCUCCCCUUCAUCACUGUUUGCCAUGCAUCUUCUCUCACUGUCCUGUCUUUUGUCUCUCGCAACUUCUGUAGGAAGGAAUCCAUAGCUCUCGCUGUGUGUCUCUUGCAUGCAUGGACCAUGCAUGCCUGCAUGCCAUGGCCCAGAGUGCGCACCUGCCAGCUACUCUCUCUCUCUCUCUUUCUCACACACACACUGUACAAGGUUGCCUUUUGACCCUAGAUUUGUAUCGUCAGUUUGGACCUCUCUCUCUCUCUUUCUCUCAUUUGGGAUCUGUCAUCUGUCUGCUUGUCCAUGGCAAUUGGUACGUACGUACUGCGUACAUGUGUGUUGUCUGGAAUUAUUUGUGGGCGGACAAAACGGUCUCCCACCAGCCACCCUAUGUGAACUGGUCCUGCAUUUGUUUGCUUUCUCAACUGUUAACACACAGUAUAACAAUGUAUUGCACAUAGGGAUUCAAACAUAUACCAGGACUACAUUUUUCAUUUUGGAUCCUAGCAGAGAUGCUCGCAUUUGCACAUUUAUUUUACAAAUUGACGCUACUACACAAAUCUUUUUUUACAGUCAACUCAAAUUUUUCCUAGAAUCUCGGAACAUGUAAGAAACCACCUCUAAGAGCACUGUAGCUUGCGAACUGCCAUUAGAAAGCAAUUUUAGGGGCUGGUUUUGUUAAGAAAAUCGUCCCUAAAAAUAUAUCCAUUUUCAGGGAUGGUUCCAUUAAAAACCUCCUUUGAAAAUAUGGUUUUUAGGAUCGGUCUUAUUGAGAAACUCGCUUCUAUAAAUCGGAUGUUUCUAGGGACAGUUCUCUUAAUAGAACCAACCAUAAAAAAAAUUUAUAGAGUCAGUCCUCUUAGUGAACCGCCCCUAAAACUGACUUCUUAUAAAAAGCCUUCUGUCUCCUCGUGGGCAACUACACAUAUCACUCCUUUGGGAGCUCACUUCAAGGCGAAAAUGUUGCAAAAAAUAGUGAGGGCAAGGUUUUGCACUUUGAAACAUUGAAUAAGUUGGCUUUAAGAGGUAAGAUUAUGUCAUCCAAUGUAUUUUUUUACAAGUCUACUCAUUAUGCUUUCCAUGUACAGAGACAUGCUUGUUAAUCUUUGCUUUUGUGAAUAAUUUUGGCUGAAUUUUUUACCCAACUUACUUGUAUGGCACUACUAAGAUUAUGCUAUUAUUGUCGGGACUUUCAUCCCUGGUUUUGUGAGAGCCAGUGAUGAUAAAUUUUACCGCCGGUUCAAAGACAGGUGGUGCAUAGUGCACUAAUACACAAAUCUUUUUUAAGGCAGGCAUUGCAACUGCCUUUGCCAAAAGGUCAGGUUAAUCCUAGAUUAACGAAGGCGGUUACUUUUCCCGUCUCGGUUAAUCCCAUUAACCGAGGCGGGCGUUUUAAUAUGUCUGUCUCCGUUAAUGUUCUCUAGAAAACCAAAUAUUUUUUAUUAACGUUGGCGGGCACUGCAGCUAGCCGCCUUCGCCGAAAGGUCACGAUUAAUCUAUCUCUGUUAAUCUCAUUAAUCGAGGGGUACAUCUUAAUAUUCCCAUCUAUGUUAAUAUUCUCUAGAAAACCAAGAGUCAAACUCACAACCUACCCCCUCAACACUACCAUAUCUCUACCACUACACCACAUACUUAUUCAUGUCUAUAUAUAAUAUGUUAUCUUUUUCUAUCAAUAUUUUGUAAUCUUAUAUUGGAUAUUUUGGCUCAUAACAAACUUAAAUAAAAAAAGAACUAAAAAGUUUAAAAUCAUGUCAGAUACUACAACUUUGGUGUAGGAUGUAUCUCCAUCAAAGAUAGUUUAAAAAGUUCAAAAAAAGUCUCAAAAGAUUUAAAUUUCAAAUACAUAUUUGAGACUCAAGAUGACUUUAAAUCAAAAACUUGUCAACACCAAACAUGUAGAUCACCUCAGCCACUAGAUUUUUUAUAUUAACUAUGUGAACAUUUGAGAUCAUUUAGGAACUCUAAAUUUUAAAUUUCAAAAUCUAUAACCUUCAAACACAUAUUUUGGGACACUAAACAUUUUCAAAUUAAAAACUUCAACUACAAAGUUGUAGAUUCUAGUGAGAACUAAAACUUUUAUAUAGACUAUGUCAACAAUUUAGAUUGUUUGAUAAUUUUAAAUUUCAUCAAAAUAUACACUCUUACAACAAUAUUUUGGGAACCUAAACAGUUUUAAUUCAAAAACUUUUCAACUACAAAGUCGUAGAUGUCAUGGAGAGAUACAUUUUGAUAUAAAAUUUGUCUUCAUCCAAGUUCCUAUAAAAAGUUAUAAAUUAAUUUUGGUGUAAUCAUUAACCGAGGUAGACAUCUCAAGACACCUGCCUCUGUAAAUCAAUUUACGGAGAUGGACGCUUAUAAUGACCACCUCCAAAAAUAAUAAAUUAAUCGAGGUGGUUGGCUUACGUUGCCCACCUCGGUUAAUGGAGUAAUUGGAGAUGGUUGUCGUAAGGCAACCGCCUUAGUUAAUCAUGGAUUAACCGAGACAAUUUGCUACAUUGCCCACCUCGAUUAAGCAUUAACCGAGGUAGUUGGUGGACCGACUGCUCGGCCACGAAUAUUAGAGAUGGCCAACCGGCCCAACCGCCUCGGAGCCUAUUAUGAAAACAUCUCACACAAGAUUUUGUGUAGUAGUGGUGGGGUCACAAAUCUGUGGAGCUAAAUAUUUUCACCACCAGUUCAGUGCAUAAUCUGGAGGUGAAAAUCGUGGUGCUCUCCACUACUGACCAUACACCAAAUUGGUGGUGAAAACAUUUAGCACACCAGUUGUCACCCCACCGUGCACCACCUGUUUUGAACCAAGACAUUUGAGGGAUGGGGUGCAGAUCAAUUGAUCAAGAAGUGAAUAGUGUAGUCACUAUUGGCUCAGAGUAUGAUAUGGCCUAGACCUUUGGGUUGUGUUUUGCAGCCAUGUCAUACGUUGAACCGGCGGUGAUCGCAGGUUACACUGAUAGACAAAGAAAUAGCACAACCUUCAUACUAUAUAUCCAUUAAAAAAUAAGAUGGUCAGCAAGAAUAGGACUAUGAGAAGGAUGAGGAGCAAAUGAUGUUGACAAACAAGUACAGGCCACAUAACGUCAUAGUUCACGCAGCCGUAGAUGCCAUUCUAACAUUGGUUUAGCUUGUACUACUCUGAUGGACAAAACUAAGAGGUCGAGACAACUAUAACAUGAGGUGUGACACAAGAUUCUUACUACCCUCAGCUCCCAGAAUUGGAGCAUAUGAGAGGCAUCAACAAGAUUCAGGAGUUGAGGUUUGUUCCCUUAGAGGACUGCUACUAAGACCCACAGAACGAGGGCCAUUUUGGACUAUAGUGCAUGUUAGUUUUCUCAUGGUCAUCUAAGAUGGAGGCAUGAAGUUAUGUGCUCAUUGCUAAAUAACAAUUGAAGGCCAAGAAAAAUUUGUAGGAAUCACUGAGGAAGAGAUGAGGGCCCAUUUAGCAUACAUGCUAGGACUAUUGGGCCUAUUGAUAGAUCACAAGAAUAUGUGCUAGAUUAGGUGAGAAUAUUCUUUACUACUUUGUGGAUACCACGAGGAUGUCAAUACAUUGAAUUUAUGUUCACAAAGGAUCACCACCACCUAUGUAAGAAAGAAAUAGUUAAACCUCUAGGUGUUGGACUAGUUCCAAACACUCAAGUUCAUCCAUUAUAUGUUACCCAAGAGCACUACCUCCUCCUCAUGCCCUUGUAGGUAGGACAUUACCAGUACCCACUGGAAUUGAAUUGGUUAUUUUAGACAGUUGUUCAGUAUUGACUCUUUGAGGAUACUAGGAGAACUCACACCACUAACAUUUGUUCUUUUCCUCGCCUUCGAGAAGUCCCUAUACCUAAGAGCUAGAUUUGCUAAGGCAAUCACAGUAAUGCAACAGUGUUUCCUUUCUUUAGUGUUAGGCCACACUCCAUUUGAUGUGGUAGAUUUGCUGGUUUGUGAGUGGGAAGACUAGAUUGCUAACGGAUUCAAGGGCAAGAGGAGGGUUCUGCAUGUGCAUGUCAUUUGUUACCUGUAGACUAGGACUUUUGGAUACAUAGAAUUGGAGAUGGUCCUGAAAGAAUUGAAGAGUAUAUGUUCCUUAAAUACAAACCUCCUAGUCCUACUAAUAGACAUAGAGGAUUCUAUGGUCUGAGGAUAGCAUAUGACUAGAUGACACUAGCUGAUCUAGCCAGUAAUGAGGAAGCUGACUUAGCUUCGAGAAGGAGAGGCACAUUCUGGACUUCAAGGUUUGAUUAGCGCUGCACUACUAGGUAGCGAUAAUCAAGUACAAGGAUUAUACAUUGCCUCAACCACCCAUUCCCUAAACAGCAAGGUUCAAAUGAUCAUGUAGUGGGAUCUAGUUUUAUGCCAUCGAUUGAGCCAAAAAUAGCACAAGCACAAUUCUAGCUGAUUUAAUCCCUAUAAGAUGAACUAAUUCAGAUGACAGAAUCACAAGAAAACAUGUUUGUUGCUAUGAUGAGAAAAUAAUAGAAUCAUAAUGAAGCAUUGGCUUCAUUAUUUUUAGGCCAGCAGCAAUGCUUGAGUAGCCAAGGAAGGACAAAGAGCACAACAACUAUCAGUUUGCUUACCUUUUCCACUAGAUUGCUAUGUUGCCGCCUCCGCUUAUGCCACCUAGUAUGAUAGUUGUGUGACUAUGUUAGUGAUCCCUCAAAGGUUCAUCGUCCUAUGCUUCAUGAUCCCUAAAAGGUUGUUGUUAUGAUAGUUGUGUGACUUUGUUAGUGAUUGAUUCUCUCUUGGGUUUCUUUGGCAUCUGGGCAAUCUCUGGUGAUGUGCCCUUUGUUCUCCCCAUGGUAGAAGUAGUAUUUCCUUUGGGGUUUCUAGCUUGUGUUUUGGUUCUUGUUCUAGGGUUUGCUCUAAUUGCCUCUGCUAUUGUCUUGUUGGUGUGGAGGCAUGUUAUCUUAGCUAGGCUGCUACUGGUUAUGUUGGAGUAGUUGCUGAUUUUGCUAGGAGUUGACAUUGAAAACCUGUUGGUUAGGGCCUUGCUGAGGUUAGUUUUGACCUCAGUCAAUCCUGGGAGGUUACUUACUAUUUGGGAUUAAGUUUGCUGCUUGAACUAGUUUUGCUCUUCCAUUCUUUUGCGAAGGACAUUAUCAGACCUGAAGUAUUUCUCAAACUCAUUGUACAAUUCUUCUUUGGAAGAAGGUUUCUACCUAGCCAAUUGUCUAGCAAAGGUUCCAAUGCAAAGGCCCUUGAUGUCUGCCUCAAUUUCUACUUCUUUGGGUACACUAGGUGCUCAUGCUUUGAUGUGCACAAAUCUUUAGUAAUACUGCUUAAGGGAGACUCAUUGUUGUUGUUUGCAUUGAAAUAGAUUGUUGGAUGUCAAGGACUUGUUAGUAAAUAUUUUGAAAUUUGCCAUAAUUUUGUCUCAAAGGUCUUCCCAUGAGUAUACAGACUUGGGCUUGAGCAUGGAAUACCAUGCAAGGAUGUUCCCUUCUGUCAUGGUGAUGAAGGAUUUAGCUAGCAUUGUCAUUUCCUCUGGCAGAUGUGAUAGCUACCUUGAAGCUCAUUAUAAACUCAUGUGGGUCUCUUUGCCCAUGGAACAUGGGUAGGGAUAUGGGUUUGUAGGUGGGUAGCCACCAUGGUUUGGUUUGUAGACCUUUGAACAAGGGAUAUUUGUUGUCUAUUUGUUUGGAGAGUGCGAUGAGGGUUGAUUGGUGUGCUAAAGAUUUGCUAGGGUUGAGGGUGUGGCUAGAGGUUGGAUUAGCUUUGUGUAGCUGGUGGAGGGUUGUUGGAGUUAUCGGUUGAUGGGGGAGGUUUUGGCAACAGUCAAGUUGUUGUCUAACCUUCGUUGCUUGUUAGGAAGCAAGGGUUCUCUUUGAUUAGCAGCAAAGGUUGUAGCCAACUUGUCCCUUUCUUGUUGAGCUCUCUGUAGCUCGGCCUGCAACUAUUGAAGUAACUACUUUAGUGCUGGGUUAGGGAUUGUCUGCUCUCCACCUUGGCUCUAGACUGGUCUACCAUAGGUACUUCCUCUUCUCUGACCUUUGCAUUUUCCUGGGGAUUAGGGGGUUGGCAUACAUGUUGCGGGUGUUGCACUUGGGCCUUCCCAUGCGGAGGCCUUCCUUUUGGUUGGCACUGUGGGUUUGUGUGUGGCCUAGCAUGGUGAGUGCUAAUGUUGUGAAAUUAGGGUCACAACAAGAUGAAGGCAAGCAUGUUGUGGAUUUUCCUUCGAUCACUAAAGACUUUCAUAGAGGGGCGAAGUCCUUCGAGGUUAGAGACAUGAUUAUCAAGGAGCUUUCUAGGGUUCUGAGCCCAAAAUUCACUCUCUGCUUCAUUAGGGGUUGAGCCUUCCUUUUUAUAGUGUACAACUACAUAAUUUCCUUAUUACAAUAAUGCUCCUAUGCAAGCUAAGGCAUAUUCUAGUAUAUUUCUCUAUUCAGAGUUCCUCCUUCGGGCCUUAGUACCAUUUAUAUAGUCAACCUCAUUUUUUGAUAGGCUCUUGUCGAGCUGGACCUCUAGCCCAGUAUGACCCCUAGGCUGGCAUCUAAGGCUCUUUGCCAUUAGGUGUUUGUCCUCCUUCGACUGGUGCCUCGACCACCAAUUGCCUUUGACCAUUCUGGCAUGCCUAGGUAGUUCAAAGGCUUCGCUCGUUGUUUGUCUUGGCUCGGUGAUCUUCUAAAGGUUGGAGGAACCGACUGAAGGCUUCCUGAUGAGAGUCAAACAUAGGGGCAUGCUAAGUCUCUCAGAGAAAGACUCCCAAUCGAGAGACCCCACCCCCACCCCCUGCCUGUAACAUCUCGCCUCCAUGAGGUCGGGCCUGCUUACAUCUAGCAGCUUUUCUAGAACAUAGUCAGCCCUCCCCAGUAUUUUCUGCACACUUUGUCCUCACUCAUGUGCACCCAGGAAGUACUUCAUUAUUGGUCAUCCAUCUCUAAAUUUCUCUAAGCCAAGCACGCUUAACUUUUGAGUUCUUUGUAAAUAGGCUUCCAAAAAAGAAGUUGCAACUUGUUUGUAUGAGUAUCUUACUAAUCCUAUUAAUCCCUGGGCCAAGAUGUUACAUCCUCACCCUCUUAAGAGACUGACGUCCUCGUCGGUCAACCCCAAGCCAGGAACGUCCUCUCUUGGCCACAUCUAUGUGUCUAGUGCCAGCAUAUAUGUCAUGCUGUGUGACCACUCUAGGGUCCACACCAGCCAUGCGCACCAUGUUUGCGUAACUAUGACACACGUGCCUGUCAAACCAUGAGAGUCGGCUUUGAUACCAGUUUUAACGUCUUGCCUCCAUGAGGCUAGGCCCACUUACAUCUCGCAGCUUUUCUAGGACAUAAUCCGCCCUCACAAACCAACACUAGUCUUUUCUGCACACUUUGUCCUCACUCAUGUGCACCCGGGAAGUACUUCCUGGUCGGUCACCCAUCUCUAAAUUUCUCUAGGCCAAGCACGCUUAACUUUUGAGUUCUUUGGAAAUAGGCUUUCAGAAAAGGAGUUGCAACUUGUUUGUAUGAGUAUUGUUGACGGUUCUUAAGUAUCAAUUUUAAUUAUCAAAUAAACAAGAGAUAGGACCAAUAUGCAAACAACACCUAGAAUUAGGGUUUGAUCUGACAGAAUUCCACGAGUUUUGUUGUUUAUCUAUUUCUACAGGGGGUUAUCAGGAAAUAAGAAAGAAAGGCCCACAUGUCGGGAUUACAUAGAGAUAUCAACGCACCGCGCAAUUUUCUACCAUCUAGAAGACUCCAGAAGCCACGGGAACAAAGCAGAGGCCGAAAGGGGCCUGGCCCAAGGCGCCCGCCCUGAGGACCAGGGCGCCCGCCCCCCUCUAGACUCCAAUCGGGACUCUUUUCGCGGACGACGCUCCACCGACCUAAAGGAUCAAGGAUAACCGUCCAAUCAAUGUCGGUUUGAUCCAAUGGCUCACGUUCACUUGAGGGGACUAUAAAACCAGACCCCCUGGCUCCUGGAGGAGACAAGUUCAUCAUAGAUUGAGAGGAGCCCUCGAAGGAAUACCUCUCCUCUAAAUAAAAUUUCUUUUAGGCUUAGCAUCCAAUGUGAGUAGAAAUAGAUCUUCUAGUUUCUACUAGAUUGAGAGAGAUAGAGUGGAGGUGUAGAUCGGAGGAAGCCCGACCUGUCCGUGUCUACUCCGAGUUUGUACCUGCGGGAUCA
rnacentral:lncRNA from 1 species